AGACCUACAGCAUUCCCUGUGCUCAGAGGGGACACGGCUGCUUCAAAAAGGCAAAAGAUCCAGUGUAAAUAAUACUGCCACCUCAUGGUCUCAGAUGUUUCAGCCCAUGGUCUUCAGCUCCACUGACUCUGAUGAGGCAGAAGAACAACAUGGCGCCAAUGUUAAAGGCAGAAGCUCCUAACCUCAUACUGGCAGGAAACAAGAGCAAGGGAAAAGGUGACACUUUCCUACAUGUCCCCUUCCACCUCUAUGUCCUCUCCUUUCUAUUGCCCUGCUGGAGAGCAGGUAUCACCCAAUCAGAGACUACGGAAUUCUAGAGCUGUUGUUCACCACAAUUAUUUCCUUAAAAGCCUUCUUCUCCAAACUGACCACUCAGAACGAUUGGUCCUUUGUCACGUACACCAUAAUGACACCAUACUCUGUCACCACAACAUUGAAAACCUCAAAUGAGUCCUAGCUGGACUCCUGUGUGCCUAAAGAAAACAACCCUUUCAUUGGACUUAACUUGAAUUUGUGCCUUUCCCAUCUCUGCCAAAGAGCCUAUUCAUGUUUUAUAAGCAUGAGAUAGUUAAUAUGUGUACCAGGCACUAUCCUGUACCAUAACCCUCACAUGAUGACAAACUUUAAUACCAGUCUAUCAUUUCAGGAGCAAUAAAACUAAUGCAUUGAGUAGUUUGGCCUCAGGAGCCACUAUGACUCACAACUGUAUAGGGAUUAAGCCAGAAUCUUCCAACCUUACAUCAUGUUCUUACAAUAACAGAGAAUCAUCAUGUCAGCCUUAAAUCAGGAAUAGAAGUCAGCUAGUCACUCAUGACAUAUAGAUGUCAAGUCAAUAAGCAUGUUUAUGUGCAGCACCCAACAGGUCUCUAUGUGGAACCGUCUCUUCAGGUGCAAUAAAAAACAAAG
rnacentral:lncRNA from 1 species